AUUUUAUCGUCUCCGCAGAUUGCUGGAAUUACUUUAAAACUAGACAGUUCUAUAGAUGUCCCUUCAAGUAAAAGAUCCAAUUUUCUGGAAGCAUCACAAGAGGAACCACUUGUUAGCAAUCAUAUCACCUCUAGCCCUAGAAAUCCUUCUUCAGCAUUGCCAGUGGUCAACAAGAUCCAUUGUAGUCCUUCCGACUCUGAAA
rnacentral:misc_RNA from 1 species